rnacentral:rRNA from 1 species
UUAGUAACGGCGAGUGAACAAGGAAGAGCUCAAAUUGAAAAUCAACGGUUAUCCGUAGAAUUGUAGUCUUUUGAAAUAACGCCAGUGGUUGCUUCGAAACAAGUCUCUUGGAAUAGAGUACCAAAGAGGGUGAAAGUCCCGUCUUUUUCGAAGUCAAUUACAAUCGGUUAACUUUCAUAGAGUCGCGUUUCUUGCAAUUGAAGCGCUAAGUGGGUGAUAAACUUCAUCUAAAGCUAAAUAUUAGCAAGAGUCCGAUAGAGAACAAGUACCGUGAGGGAAAGAUGAAAAGAACUCUGAAAAGAGAGUUAAGAGGAACUGAAAUUGCCAAGAGGAAAGUGGAGUGAUGAGGCAGUAUGUUGUGAAAUUGCUAUUUGAGUAUCAAAUCUCGGUGGCCGUUUCUGACUUACCUUUGGAAACAAUGUGUAAAAGGCGCCGCUUGCUAGUGCAACUGGAUCUUUUAGGUUCACUGCUUAGUAAGUGAGUCUUUAUCAUAUUGUAAACCUCGCUUAGUUCUACUAUG